ensembl:lncRNA
CCCCCACGAUGAAAUGGCUUAUAUAGACAGACCAACAAGCCAACUCUUCACUUCACUGAGCAAGUGUGUCUUGCAGUUGUCUUUGGAGAGAUAUAACAGAGAACAUGGCACGCAAACUCUUUCUAAUCCUCGCGCUCUUUCUCCUGGUGGGGAGUCUGACUGCGCAGUUGUCAGAUGAAGAUGGCAUCAUCCUGUCUGAACUGUACAACAGCCCAGCAGAGGAGCUGGGAGCUGCUGAGGCACUGGCGCGCGUCAAGCGUGGCUUUCUCGGCCGGCUCUUUAAAAAAGUAAAGAAAAUCUUUCGUGGUCGUGGUGGUGGUGAGGCUGGUGAUGCUAAGCAGGAAGCCCCGCAAGAGUAACCCCCAUCAUGCAUUCAUUGCCACCCCUGUGAGCCAACAGAGAGGCAUCAAGGCAUCGAGGCAGCUCCACUCUUUCAGAGAGAGAAUCUGAAUGCCACGAAGCUCUCCUGUUUGUAAACAAAUAAAGAUGUUCUGCAGCAUUUACCUCUCUGUGCUCAUGGUUUAGAAAGUUUGCGAAUCCGUCAGACAUUUAUGGAAAUCUACAUGAAUUUUACCUAAAAUGUGACGAUCUAUGUCAUAAAAAAGAGAAGCUGAAGAAACAUUAAUCACCAAAGUAUCCAACAUUUAAUGGCUCCUUAAAAUAUUGUAAUCCCCUCCUUUAAAAGCUACAGUUUGCAACAAGUUGCCACUUUUUAGGCAUGUUUUUAUAGGCAACUAGUACUGGCAUCAUUUUCAAAUGACUUUUGAUGGUAUAUGGUCAUGUGAAAGACAGAUAAACACUAGGUAUGGGGCACCAAGUGUAACAGACCUUGUUUACAGAACCCAUUCUGUGCUGCAAUAGGCAUUCAUUACAUACGAAGCCAUAUAAUACCAUAAUGCAUUUUCUCCACAAAAAACAAACCUGUUA